GUUUUGGUGUUUAUGGCGUAAUGGAACCACUCCGAUCCAUCUCGAACUCGGUAGUUAAACGUUACAGCGGCGAUAAUACUUAGGGAGUUGUCCCUUGGGAAGGUAGCACGGUGCCAAAACCAUAUUUAUUUUUAUACUAUAUU
rnacentral:rRNA from 1 species